UACACAGAGAAACCCUGUCUCGAAAAAACCAAAAAAAAAAAAAAAAAAAAAAAAAAAGCUUGCUGGUGGUGCAGAAAGAAGUCUGGUCACAACUGGGUACAGCAAACGAGCUGGGUACCCCAAAGAUAUCUCACCAGUUCUAGUCGAAGAUCUGAUCUACCUGCACCUGCAUCACGCCCAGACCCUCAAGCCUCGCUGAAAGGGUGCUGCAGACCCUCUGGGCCCCUUUGUCUGUGUGGAAUGGGUCUCUAGUGGACAAAGUGUCAGAUGAAUUGACAAACAGAUGCACACAGGAGAGGUUGUGUUGGAUCUGAAUGUAAUGUCAAAUCGAGCAUCAGACUUUUUAUGCAGAAGACAAUAAGGAAGUUGGGUGACAUAUUCACAAGGUACAAAUGAGGUAACCAGAAUCUUACAUAAAACAGAGGAAUGCAAACACAAAAGGUCUAAUGGGAACCACCCGGGAUAGAAUUCAUUGUUAACAACUGGGUUCAAAAAGGGCUCCACCUAAGAUUCGUUUAAUCUUAGAAGCCAGGGUCAAGGGCUUCGUGCCCUUGCCAUAGUUCCUAUGUUAGUCUAUUGUAUAGUCUACCUUCCCCUUAGGCCAUUGUAAAUAUGUGUGUAUGGGUGUAACUCAGCUAUAGUCUUAGAAGCCAGGUGUGAGGUCUUUACUCUCCUAGGACAAGGGCUUUCACACCCAAGUCAUGGUUCUAACUAGGGAGUUCCGUUCUAGUUAACCAUUUCAUGAAUAAUGCAAUACUCUAAAACCACAGCCCGAUCUAGUUCCUAAACCAUUGUAAAUUCCUGUAUAUGGGAGCCACUUGGCUUUUAUUGAUAGUGUAAUACCAGAGGCUAUUCUAAAUGUCACUGUCUAGCUCAAGGACAUUCUAGGAAUGUUGGAACACUGGCAGAAGCCUUUAGCUAUGUCAGAAUUCAAUCUUAAAAGGCACUUAUAAUAAAGAGAGCACAUGGAUCCAUCCACUAGACUAAGGCGGGAAUGGAAAAUUUAGAGAGCACGCCAAACUCCAGGAGCGAGUUUCCAUGAAACUCUUUUGCCUCGAGAGUAGCUUUCAAGCCUCUCGGCUUAUCAAGCUGACUCGACCAGAGCGCGUGGCAAAAGGGUCCCUGCCUAGUCCUGUUUCCUACCCCUUCUUAUCCUGUUUUUGUUCUUAACCUUUGGCCCAUGUAUCCUUAAUUGUAGAGUAGAAGUUAAUAUACUUAGACAACAAUAUCAGUAACUGUAACAAAAGUGAGAUAUCAUUUCAGGAUUGAAAUGUACCUGGGAAAAGGGGGGUGGGAAUGUAAUAUCCAAAAUGAAUUCAAGACCACCCAAUACCUUCCCCCUUCGAAAAGAACUUUCCAAACUGUACUAGCAGGCAAAGUGCAGAUCCAAAUAAGGAAGCUGAGUAAACAAAUGUAAAAACAUAGUUUUAGCGGUCAAAAUUAUUAAGCCUGCAGCUACCAAAAUAAUAUUAGCUGUUCUCAAAGAAAUAGCCAUAACAAGAUUAGCAAUUCUACUGUCUCCUCCCUUCUGACAUGGGUUAAAUGUUAUCCAUAUGCUCUGCUGACACAGAUAAGCACCUGCGCCCUUCAGAAUUGCUGUUACCUUGAUCUGCACGUACAAUUUGCUGAUGUUUAUACUGUCCAAUUGUGUGUAACUGCACCAAUUUCCCCUAUCCCCCGACUUUUUUCCUAUAUAAACACCUAACUUUUGAGCCUCAGGGUCGACUCCUCUGUUUCCUGCUAGAGAUAUAUGUCAGCUGAAGCUCUGUCAUUAAACUGCCUUGUGUGUUUGCAUC
rnacentral:lncRNA from 1 species